GGGAGGAAAAGAAACCCACCGGGAUUGCCUUAGUAACGGCGAGUGAAGCGGCAAAAGCUCAAAUUUGAAAUCUGGCGUCUUCGACGUCCGAGUUGUAAUUUGAAGAAGGCGACUUUGUAGCUGGUCCUUGUCUAUGUUCCUUGGAACAGGACGUCAUAGAGGGUGAGAAUCCCGUGUGGCGAGGAUCCCAGUUAUUUGUAAAGUGCUUUCGACGAGUCGAGUUGUUUGGGAAUGCAGCUCUAAGUGGGUGGUAAAUUCCAUCUAAAGCUAAAUAUUGGCGAGAGACCGAUAGCGAACAAGUACAGUGAUGGAAAGAUGAAAAGAACUUUGAAAAGAGAGUGAAAAAGUACGUGAAAUUGUUGAAAGGGAAGGGCAUUUGAUCAGACAUGGCGUUUGCUUCGGCUUUCGCUGGGCCAGCAUCAGUUUUAGCGGUUGGAUAAAUCCUCGGGAAUGUGGCUCUGCUUCGGUAGAGUGUUAUAGCCCGUGGGAAUACAGCCAGCUGGGACUGAGGAUUGCGACUUUUGUCAAGGAUGCUGGCGUAAUGGUUAAAUGCCGCCCGUCUU
rnacentral:rRNA from 1 species